rnacentral:pre_miRNA from 1 species
AGGGGCCCUACAGGAGCGACAUGAGAUCACAUCGAGCAUGUGCAUCGACUUCCGAUGUGCUGCAACUUGGCAUCGUGCUGGAUGUGUUCUCAGGUCGCCCCUGCCGGGCUACC